CCGGUACGUGCCCGGCGCGUCCGCCGCGGGCCAGGGUGCGGGUGUCGGGUGGCGUGCGGGCUGGGGCUGCGCCCGUGCAGGAUGCCCGCUGCCGGCGAGUGGGUCGCGAGCAGGACACUUCGGAGAGCGGCUCUGCAGACCCUUCAGGGUUCCUGCCUUGGGGCUCAGAGAAUCUGGACUUGGGCUGAGAAGGUUGCAGGGAUUUGGAUGCUAACAUAUCUCCUAGUUUCCAGCGCUCGCCCUGCAGAGCGUGCCAUCUCGGCAGCUGUUGAAAGGUCAGUUGGAAAAGCAUUCAUUCGGGGAGCGACGAGCAAACAUGCACAUAAAAUAGCGUUUCAAGUCGGCCCGGGAUGGUUCUGUGUGAACUGGUGUGUGUGUUCGAGGGGCGGGGGUGGAAUGAGCAGAAGCCAAGUCUUUGCCUGCGCAGGCUGAGUUGAUAUAGACUAUUGCUGGAAACCAUCCGCUGGGAUGUUUCUUAGGGAAAUCCCGUCGUGUGGAAGGAAGCCUUUUAAAGGCAAAGUCAGAUGUUGAGGAAUUAGCCUUUUCAUAGAAUUAUCAAAGGAUGGCUGUACAGACCACCUAGAAAAUAAUUCAGUAUUUCAGGUUUUUCUUUUCUGGGAGUGUGAUAACUGAAAUUGUUAGAUUUUGGCUCAGUUAAGAAAAGAAAGAUCUGUUGCCUUUCUUCUGAGUGAACAGUGGUGAGAAAAAAUUUUGCAAGGCCCCGCUUUUCCUUUCUUCACAGGCCAGCAGUAGCCAUAUCUGAUCAAAAAAGAUACCUGAAGGAAUAUUGAUCACAUUUUCCUGAGGCCCUAGCAAGCACAGGAAUUGAGAAGUUAGGACUGGAACAACUUUGUCAUUUGUCACAAUUGCCAAACAUUAGAAUACACAGGAACCGUUUUUUCAGGUAACUCUGUGACUUGGCUGGAUCUUCCUGAUCAUCAAGAUUAGCACCUCGGGGCCUGGAAGAGGUUAGGGAGGGCAGGAAGAAGGAGUGAGCCAGCAUCCAGCUCUGCGUGGGGCAGGCUAUGGCGUGGACAGACUUAACAUUCCACAGCACGGCUGAAAGCCCUGGACCUCUUUCCCUUGCACCCCUAAUUCAUGGUGAUAAAACCAAAACAUGGUGAAUUAGGUUAUUAGAACGUUGGAACAUCUCUGAAGCUCAAAGCCCUCUUAUGGCUAUGUGAAGGCAUACGUGGAGGCAUACGUACUCCACCCUGAAGCUUCUCCUUCAAUUUUAAUGUUAAUCUUACCAAGCGACAGCUUUCAUCCUGGUUAAGGCAGCUCGGUGUGUGUAAAAGCAGCCUGGCCUGUUAAACACAAUGCCGUUAAAUCAAACUGCCUUUCUUUUUUUUUUUUUAAAGUUUCCUUUUCAGUACUGACAACUUGGAGGUAGAGAAACCAAAAGCAAUGUUUUCAGAAGGCCUUUUGCUUUCUUAAAGAUUUCAAACGAUGAUUGUAGUUAAUCUGGCUGCCUGUUUGAAAAACCAUCAGAUAAAUGCCCACAAGGCUCUCAUCUUUCAGUAGCUUAGCUGCUGCUUGUCAGAUUCUAAACUCCAAAGUGCUUGACUCUUCCAGUGCCCAAACUAAUCCUUGUUUAAAUUAUGUCUUCAGAAGCUAUAACUCUUAUAGUGGCUUGCUAAAUGAUACCCUUUGGAUCUGGGCUGAAGACUUCCAGAAUGCCCAAGUGAAUUUCAGGAGCGGGCUCAAUGUUUAACCAAAUUCACCUUUACCAAGGGCUAUUCAAUCCAUAUCUGGGAUGUUUUAAAUAAAACUAUCCAGGACUGUGGGCAAUAUUCAAAGUUAAUAUUUGUUGCCAAUAUGUUUGGAGUGCAAGAUAAAGCAUUAUAAUGUCUAGACAUUUUUGAAAUAAAAAAGUCUUCUGGUUACCAAAAGGCAUUAUUGUCAUAGGUCAUGCAACUCAGAGGUGAAACUUGAGAAAACAGAAAGUGACUACCAACAGGUGACACAUUGAGAAGAUAAUUAGGAAUUUCCUCAAUCAUACAGCCCUCAGCACCCAUUUCUCACAUCAAAAUAGAAUGGUGGAGCCGAGUGCGGUGGCACAGCCUGUGGUCCCAGCUACUCUGGAGGCUGAGGAAGAUCAUUUGAGCCCAGGAGUACUGGUCUGGAGCGAACUAUGCCUAUUGGGUAUCUGCAGUAAGCUCGGCAUCAAUAUGGUGACCUUUCGGGAGUGGGGACCACCAAGUUGCCCAAGGAGGGGUGAACUGGCUUGGUGGGAAACAGAACAGGUAAAAACUCCAUGCUGAUCAGCAGUGGGACUGCAUCUGUGCAUAGCCACUGCCCUCCAGCCUGGGCAACACACAAGACCCUGUCUCUAAAAAUAAAUAAAUAAAUGAAUGGAAUAGAAGAGAAUAUUGAAGACAAGGGGAUGAAGGCAUGAUUUUAAAUGACUAAAAUGGUCUGGGCAUGGUGGCUCAUGUCUGUAAUCCCAGCACUUUGGGAGGCCGAGGCAGGCGGAUCACCUGAGGUCAGGAGAUUGAGAUCAGCCUGGCCAACAUGGUGAAAUCCUGUCUCUACUAAAAAUACAAAAAUCAGCGGGGUGUGGUGGUGCCCGCAUGUAAUCCCAGCUACUCGGAAAGCUGAGGCAGGAGAAUCACUUGAACCUGGGAGGUGGAGAUUGCAGUGAGCCAGUAUUGCACCACCGUACUCCGGACUGGGUGACAGAGUAAGACUCUGUUUCAAAAAAGAAAAAUAAAAAAUUAAAAUGUAUUAUGGCCUUAAAUAAUAGGGUUGAUUUCCACUUUAAAACAUAUCCUGUUAUAUUUCAGUGAAAAUUUUUAUUUAAAAAUAUUCUAAAUAUUGAAAAGAUGUAUUUUGGGGGGGCAGAGAUAAUGUCAUUCCUUUUAUUACCAUCCAAAAACUGGAAGAAGCAUUUCAUUUUGUGAAAACUGUGCUGCUUUUAAAAGAGAAAGUCCUUACUUCCUGACUGGACCCUUCCCCCACCCCUGCUUCUCAUUUUGAGGAAACCAUUCUUGAAUAGGCUUCUGAAAAUCUUACAAGAGUAAAAUUUAUUUGUUCAGCAUUUGGUUGUUGAAGGACCCAGUGCGGAGGUGACAUUCGGGUGUCAGCCUCAGAUAAUACAAUGUGAAAUGACUGAAAAGAUGCAAUUGGGCACUGCCGUUCUCUUUUUACAUGUUUUUUUGUUUGUUUUUUGUUUUGUUU
rnacentral:lncRNA from 1 species